ACAGGCGGCGCUACAGUACUCGGCGCUACAAUACUCGGCGCUACAGUAACUCGCGAUUACUGUUCAUCGCGGUUACUGUUCACGCGCGGUACUGUUCAUCGUCGCAGGUACUGUUCAUCUCUCUAGUAUAGCCUAGGGUUUCAAUCUAAGUGAGGGAUUUUUAUUGAUCUCUCCAAUUAAGAGAGGGAGGAUGUUUGGGCGGAGGCUAGAUGCACUUUUGUAAGCGCAUUACUUGUCUCAAUUUUUCAUAUUAGUGAAUUAAUCUAUGUGCUUGUGCGUCAUGUUGUGCUGAGGUUAAGAUUGAUUUGAUCCAUCUAAAAUCAUACUAGGGCAUCUUAUUAGAGCUUAAUCUAUUCUCGUCAUUGUCUGAUACAGUCUGCUUGUUCCUUUAAUAUCUCAAGAUCCGAAAGUCCGAUUGACAUGAUUCCAGUUGGGUUAGUUGCAUAAUUUUGUAUGGAUUUUUCUGUCAAAUUUUUAGGUUGAUCGGUCUUACGGAUUUUCGUCCAUAUCUUUUUUAUUAAGGAAACAGUAUUCUGUCCAGAUUUGAAAAACGUGAUUUAAUUAGGUUUUGAGAGGAAGGGGAAGUGUUAAACUUUAUUUUUUGAACUUGCGCCCAUUCACCCCCCCUUCUGGUCGCUGUUUCGGUCCUUCAGUAUCAUUUGAUUCAUGUAUGAAAUAAUUCAAAAUAAUAAUGAUCCUUUUGUUUGGCUGGGUGAAUUGGACCAACUCAUCCAGGAUAAGGCCAUCCCACUUAAUACAUUAUUCUACUAAUUAGAGUGAACCAUAUGGUAUAAGCAAAUUGGUUGAACCACCCCAUCCAGGAUCAUCCAUGCAUGCAUCAUGUGAUGCAUGCAACCAAACACACCCUAUAAGAUUAUACUCGCUCGUUCCAAAUUAUAGGUCAUUUUAACUUUUUUAAGGUCAUUUUGACUUUUUUUAGAUUCAUAUGUUUUGCUAUGCACCUAGAUAUAUAUUAUGUCUAGAUGUAUAGUAAAAUAUAUGAACAUAGAAAAUCCAAAAUAAACUAUAAUUUGGGACGGAUGGAGUAUUAAUAAAGCUAUUGUUGAGAGUUGUUACCAGUAUCCGAUGAUGAUCCAGUACUUUGUACACUAUUGUCCAGCAUUGUAAUAAGUCGGUGAUUGUUGGUUCGAGAUUGAACUCUACUCAUUGGAAAUAGUUCUAUGACACUACAACACCAUCAUCAAUUAGAGAAAAAUAAUAAAGAAAAAGCAACCACUCUCGGCCACUCCACGGAAACCCUCAGCCAUACUUUUGAACCUUGUUGUGUGAUGUUAUUGGACUAGAACUAAUAAUUAUGUGCCAAGCCCUCGGUUUUGUCAUGGCAGGUAGAUCGUUUAAGUUUUGCUCCUGCGCUCGCACCUCCAACCCUGUGCUUGGUGAUCUAGAAGUUGUAUUUGGCUCACCGGUGGAAAACCGACCUUCCAUCCACCCUUUUUUGUCCCAGUUAAUAUUUAGCCCGUGACUAAAUGUUCACCAACCGGGAUUAAAACUUAGCCACUGGCGGGGGCUCACCAACCGGGACAAAGAAAUUCUUUAGUCCCGGUUGUAAAGGCCAGUGGCCCUGAUGGUCCUUUUCUCCCGGUUGGAAACACCAACCGGGAGUAAAGACCUAACUGGGACAAAAAAGGGUGGAUGGAAGGUCGGUUUUCCACCGGUGAGCCAAAUACAACUUCUAGAUCACCAAGCACAGGGUUGG
rnacentral:lncRNA from 1 species